UGGGGAAUAUUGCACAAUGGGCGCAAGCCUGAUGCAGCCAUGCCGCGUGUAUGAAGAAGGCCUUCGGGUUGUAAAGUACUUUCAGUCGUGAGGAAGGUGUUAAGAUUAAUAUUCUUAGCAAUUGACGUUAGCGACAGAAGAAGCACCGGCUAACUCCGUGCCAGCAGCCGCGGUAAUACGGAGGGUGCGAGCGUUAAUCGGAAUUACUGGGCGUAAAGGGCACGCAGGCGGUUAAUUAAGUUGGAUGUGAAAUCCCCGGGCUUAACCUGGGAAUGGCAUUCAAGACUGGUUAGCUAGAGUCUUGUAGAGGGGGGUAGAAUUCCAUGUGUAGCGGUGAAAUGCGUAGAGAUGUGGAGGAAUACCGGUGGCGAAGGCGGCCCCCUGGACAGAGACUGACGCU
rnacentral:rRNA from 1 species